rnacentral:rRNA from 1 species
GAUGAACGCUGGCGGCGUGCCUAAUACAUGCAAGUCGAGCGAACAGAUGAGGAGCUUGCUCCUCUGACGUUAGCGGCGGACGGGUGAGUAACACGUGGAUAACCUACCUAUAAGACUGGGAUAACUUCGGGAAACCGGAGCUAAUACCGGAUAAUAUAUUGAACCGCAUGGUUCAAUAGUGAAAGACGGUUUUGCUGUCACUUAUAGAUGGAUCCGCGCCGCAUUAGCUAGUUGGUAAGGUAACGGCUUACCAAGGCAACGAUGCGUAGCCGACCUGAGAGGGGGAUCGGACACACUGGAACUGAGACACGGUACAGACUCCUACGGGAGGCAGCAGUAGGGAAUCUUCCGCAAUGGGCGAAAGCCUGACGGAGCAACGCCGCGUGAGUGAUGAAGGUCUUCGGAUCGUAAAACUCUGUUAUUAGGGAAGAACAAAUGUGUAAGUAACUAUGCACGUCUUGACGGUACCUAAUCAGAAAGCCACGGCUAACUACGUG